rnacentral:snoRNA from 1 species
CAUGCUCCUGAAGGCAUUGCACGUGUGCCUGCUGUGUCACAAGUGCAUCAGUAGGUGGCAGAGAGGAGAGAGGCUAUGUUUACGCUUGGUGUUCUGACCUGUGAAUUAAUCUGAUUGAGUAGCAGCCUAACAUU